rnacentral:misc_RNA from 1 species
UACAGAGACUGCAAGCGUUACUCGGAUUCACUGGGCGUAAAGGGAGCGCAGGCGGGCGGGUGUGUCGGGUGUGAAAUCCCGGAGCUUAACUCCGGAAUGGCGCCCGAAACUACCCGUCUAGAGGAUUGGAGAGGCGGGCGGAAUUCCAGGUGUAGCGGUGAAAUGCGUAGAUAUCUGGAGGAACACCGACGGCGAAGGCAGCCCGCUGGACAAAUCCUGACGCUCAGGCUCGAAAGUGUGGGGAGCAAAAGGG